rnacentral:tRNA from 1 species
GGCUGUAGCUCAGUGGUAGAGUACUUGCCUAGCAUGUGAGAAGACCUUGAUUCAAUCCCCAGUACCA